rnacentral:rRNA from 1 species
ACCCGGGGAGAAACAAUUGCAUAUCAAUAAGCGGAGGAAAAGAAACUAACAAGGAUUCCCCUAGUAACUGCGAGUGAAGCGGGAAAAGCUCAAAUUUAAAAUCUGGCAGUCUUUGAUUGUCCGAGUUGUAAUCUGGAGAAGUGCUUUCCGCGCCGGACCGUGUACAAGUCUCUUGGAAUAGAGCGUCAUAGAGGGUGAGAAUCCCGUCUUUGACACGGACUACCGGUGCUUUGUGAUGCGCUUUCAAAGAGUCGAGUUGUUUGGGAAUGCAGCUCAAAAUGGGUGGUAAAUUCCAUCUAAAGCUAAAUAUUGGCGAGAGACCGAUAGYGAACAAGUACCGUGAGGGAAAGAUGAAAAGCACUUUGGAAAGAGAGUUAAACAGUACGUGAAAUUGCUGAAAGGGAAACACUUGAAGUCAGUCGCGUUGUUCAGAACUCAGCCUGGCCUUGGCCUGGUGCAUUUUCUGAACGACGGGCCAGCAUCAAUUUUGACUGUUGGAUAAAGGUUAGGGAAAUGUGGCUUCUUCGGGAGUGUUAUAGUCCUUGGCUGCAUACAAUGGUUGGGAUUGAGGAACUCAGCAUGCCUUUAUGGUCGGGGUUCGCCCACGUUCAUGCUUAGGAUGCUGGCGUAAUGGCUUUAAAUGACCCGUCUUGAAACACGGACCAAGGAGUCUAACAUGCCUGCAAGUGUUUGGGUGGAAAACCCGAGCGCGCAAUGAAAGUGAAAGUUGGGAUCCCUGUCGUGGGGAGCACCGACGCCCGGACCAGACCUUCUGUGACGGAUCCGCGGUGGAGCAUGUAUGUUGGGACCCGAAAGAUGGUGAACUAUGCCUGAAUAGGGUGAAGCCAGAGGAAACUCUGGUGGAGGCUCGUAGCGAUUCUGACGUGCAAAUCGAUCGUCAAAUUUGGGUAUAGGGGCGAAAGACUAAUCGAACCUUGC